rnacentral:rRNA from 1 species
GUCAAGUCGAACGGCAGCACAGCAGAGCUUGCUCUGUGGGUGGCGAGUGGCGGACGGGUGAGGAAUACAUGGGAAUCUGCCCAGUCGUGGGGGAUAACGUAUGGAAACGUACGCUAAUACCGCAUGCGCCCUACGGGGGAAAGUCGGGGACCGCAAGGCCUGACGCGAUUGGAUGAGCCCAUGUUCGAUUAGCUAGUUGGCGGGGUAAAGGCCCACCAAGGCGACGAUCGAUAGCUGGUCUGAGAGGAUGAUCAGCCACACUGGGACUGAGACACGGUCCAGACUCCUACGGGAGGCAGCAGUAGGGAAUAUUGGACAAUGGGGGCAACCCUGAUCCAGCCAUGCCGCGUGAGUGAAGAAGGCCCUCGGGUUGUAAAGCUCUUUUGUCCGGAAAGAAAAGCAUCUGGUUAAUACCCGGGUGUUCUGACGGUACCGGAAGAAUAAGCACCGGCUAACUUCGUGCCAGCAGCCGCGGUAAUACGAAGUGUGCAAGCGUUACUCGGAAUUACUGGGCGUAAAGCGUGCGUAGGUGGUUCGUUAAGUCUGAUGUGAAAGCCCUGGGCUCAACCUGGGAAUGGCAUUGGAUACUGGCGGGCUAGAGUGCGGUAGAGGGUAGUGGAAUUCUCGGUGUAGCAGUGAAAUGCGUAUAGAUCGGGAGGAACAUCUGUGGCGAAGGCGACUGCCUGGACCAGCACUGACACUGAGGCACGAAAGCGUGGGGAGCAAACAGGAUUAGAUACUCUGSUAGUCCACGCCCUAAACGAUGCGAACUGGAUGUUGGGGUUCAACCUUGGAACUCAGUAUCGAAGCUAACGCGUUAAGUUUCGCCCGCCUGCGGAGUACGGGUCGCAAGACUGAAACUUCAAAGGAAUUGGACGGGGGGCCCGCACAAGCGGGUGGAAGUAUG